rnacentral:rRNA from 1 species
AGCAGCCGCGGUAAUUCCAGCUCCAAUAGCGUAUAUUAAAGUUGUUGCAGUUAAAAAGCUCGUAGUUGAAUUUCGGGGUUAGUAGGUUGGUCAUGCCUCUGGUAUGUACUGGUCUCACUGAUUCCUCCUUCCUGAUGAGCCGUAAUGCCAUUAAUUUGGUGUUGCGGGGAAUUUGGACUGUUACUUUGAAAAAUUAGAGUGUUUAAAGCAAGCUAACGCUUGAAUACAUUAGCAUGGAAUAAUGAAAUAGGACGUUUGAUUCUAUUUUGUUGGUUUCUAGGAUCGACGUAAUGAUUAAUAGGGAUAGUUGGGGGCAUUAGUAUUCAAUUGUCAGAGGUGAAAUUCUUGGAUUUAUUGAAGACUAACUACUGCGAAAGCAUUUGCCAAGGAUGUUUUCAUUAAUCAAGAACGAAAGUUAGGGGAUCGAAGACGAUCAGAUACCGUCGUAGUCUUAACCAUAAACUAUGCCGACUAGGGAUCGGAUGAUGUUAAUUUUUUAAUGUACUCAUUCGGCGCCUUA